UCUGGCAAGUUAUUUCCUCACUGUGGUCUCCCAUUUUGACAAACCUUCAAUAGGAAAGCUGAUUUCUGGUUUACAUCUUCUAAGUGUCUUUGUUUUCUAGGCUGUAUGACCCUAAAUGUGCCACCAGCUCCUUCAUCAACUGGCUUUCUGGCCUUCCUUGAGUAAACCAAAUCAGAAUUGCAAGAAUCUGUGAAGCUGGACCAAGUUAAGCUUCUUUAACACUUAUUGAUACAGCCUUGCUCGAGCUUUUAGGAGUCUUUACUGCAAGGAGCACUUUCAAAGUGUCAAGCAAUAUAAAGAUCACAGUAGAGGCUUGCAGAGGAUGGGAUCAGCAGAAAGAGAAAAGCAUUGAAGAAGAUAUCUGGAAGAAGGAAGAUCAGAUUGUCAGAGCCUGGGUGACGAGCAUGUGUGAACAUGAGACUAAGGUCUUUUUACAUUACCUUUCCAUCAGGUAAUAUGGUUGUUAUGUAGUAAAUCAGGGAUAAUCGCAGCACUUGAUUAAAAGCAGCAAAUUCAACAAUGAUUAUUUUGGAGCUCAAGAGUUGAAAAUUGAAAAGUCUACAGGGGAAGCAGACUGAGAGUGCUGUAGAGAUAUCAGCAGGGAAGGAUGCAGACCUUCAGACCACAGA